rnacentral:rRNA from 1 species
GAUGAACGCUAGCGGCAGGCUUAACACAUGCAAGUCGAGGGGUAACAGGGGAAAGCUUGCUUUUUUGCUGACGACCGGCGCACGGGUGAGUAACGCGUAUAGAACCUACCUUUUACAGGGGAAUAGCCCAGAGAAAUUUGGAUUAAUACCCUAUAGUAUUAUUGAGUGGCAUCAUUUAAUAAUUAAACAUUUAUGGGUAAAAGAUGGCUAUGCGUUCUAUUAGCUAGAUGGUAAGGUAACGGCUUACCAUGGCAACGAUAGAUAGGGGUCCUGAGAGGGAGAUCCCCCACACUGGUACUGAGACACGGACCAGACUCCUACGGGAGGCAGCAGUGAGGAAUAUUGGACAAUGGAGGCAACUCUGAUCCAGCCAUGCCGCGUGCAGGAAGACGGCCCUAUGGGUUGUAAACUGCUUUUAUACGGGAAGAAACCCAACUACGUGUAGUUGGCUGACGGUACCGUAAGAAUAAGCACCGGCUAACUCCGUGCCAGCAGCCGCGGUAAUACGGAGGGUGCAAGCGUUAUCCGGAAUCAUUGGGUUUAAAGGGUCCGUAGGCGGGCUAAUAAGUCAGGGGUGAAAUCCAACAGCUUAACUGUUGAACUGCCUUUGAUACUGUUAGUCUUGAAUUAUAUGGAAGUAGAUAGAAUGUGUAGUGUAGCG